rnacentral:tRNA from 1 species
AGGUUUAUGGUGCAACGGUUUAGCAUAUUGGUUUCCAAAACCAAUGAUGAGGGUUCGAAUCCUUUUAAACCU